UGGGGGAAAUGAUCCUGUCCGGCCGCAUCCAUGACGGUGAAAACGUCGCGGUCUCGGCGACCGAUGCGGGUCUGACCUUCAACGGUCAGCUUGCAAAGAUCGAUAGCGAGAUGCCGCCGGUGCCGAAGAGCAAGCUGAACUAAGGACUGCGCACCCUGUCAUCACGGGGCAUAGCCGUUCGAAAAACGGUGUCGCUCCGCUGUCCCGGUGAUCCCGAUGGGUUGGGCACAAUGCCCUAUUCGUCGGGAUAGCCGUGACAGGCCCGGCCAUGAGCCGCGGAGGCGACAAACCCAU
rnacentral:misc_RNA from 1 species